GACGAACGCUGGCGGCGUGCUUAACACAUGCAAGUCGAACGGAAAGGCCCUGCUUUUGUGGGGUGCUCGAGUGGCGAACGGGUGAGUAACACGUGAGUAACCUGCCCUUGUCUUUGUGAUAACUUCAGGAGACUGGGGCUAAUACCGGAUAGGAGAUCCUGCUGCAUGGUGGGGGUUGGAAAGUUUCGGCUGUUGGGGCUGGACUGGCGGCUUCUCAGCUUGUUGGUGGGGUAGUGGCGUACCAAGGCUUUGACGGGUAGCCCGCCUGAGAGGGUGACCGGCGUCCUUGCGCCUACGAUACGGAGCAGACGGCUACGUGAGGCAGCGGGCGGGAACAUUGCACAAUGGGCCGAAGCCUGAGGCAGCAACGCCCCGUGCGGGAUGCCCGCUUUCUGGUUAUAAACAGCUGUCGCCUGUGACGAAGCGUGAGUGACGGUACUGGGUAAAGAAGCACCGGCUAACUACGUG
rnacentral:rRNA from 1 species